rnacentral:rRNA from 1 species
UAGUCAUAUGCUUGUCUCAAAGAUUAAGCCAUGCAUGUCUAAGUAUAAGCAAUCUAUACAGUGAAACUGCGAAUGGCUCAUUAAAUCAGUUAUCGUUUAUUUGAUAGUACAUUACUACUUGGAUAACCGUGGUAAUUCUAGAGCUAAUACAUGCUAAAAACCCUGGCCUCUGGUUCAGGGUGUAUUUAUUAGAUAAAAAACCAAUGUCUUCGGACUCUUUGGUGAUUCAUAAUAACUUUUCGAAUCGCAUGGCCUUGUGCUGGCGAUGGUUCAUUCAA